UACAGGGGGGGCAAGCGUUGUUCGGAAUUAUUGGGCGUAAAGGGCGCGUAGGCGGCUUUCUAAGUCGGGGGUGAAAUCCUGGAGCUCAACUCCAGAACUGCCUUCGAUACUGGAGAGCUCGAGUCCGGGAGAGGUGAGUGGAACUGCGAGUGUAGAGGUGAAAUUCGUAGAUAUUCGGAAGAACACCAGUGGCGAAGGCGGCCCGCUGGACAUGUAUUGACGCUGAGGUGCGAAAGCCAGGGGAGCAAACGGG
rnacentral:rRNA from 1 species